CAAUAGCGUAUAUUAAAGUUGUUGCAGUUAAAAGCUCGUAGUCGGAUUUUGGCAUCACGCCGAACUGUCUGCCGAUUGGUAAGUACGGUUUGGCGGGUGCUCUCCUUCCGGAGGCUCGUUCCCUUCUUAACUGAAGGGUUCGUUGGUUCCGGGUCUUUUACUUUGAAAAAUUAGAGUGUUCAAAGCAGGCCUAUGCUCUGAAUAGGUUAGCAUGGAAUAAUAGAAUAGGACUUUGGUUCUAUUUUGUUGGUUUCUAGGACCGAAGUAAUGAUUAAUAGGGACAGUUGGGGGCAUUCAUAUUCCAUUGUCAGAGGUGAAAUUCUUGGAUCGCCGUCAGACGAACUACUGCGAAAGCAUUUGCCAAGAAUGUUUUCAUUAAUCAAGAACGAAAGUCAGAGGUUCGAAGAUGAUUAGAUACCAU
rnacentral:rRNA from 1 species